GACGAACGCUGGCGGCGUGCUUAACACAUGCAAGUCGAACGGAAAGGCCCUGCUCUUGUGGGGUGCUCGAGUGGCGAACGGGUGAGUAACACGUGAGUAACCUGCCCUUGACUUUGGGAUAACUUCAGGAAACUGGGGCUAAUACCGGAUAGGAGCUCCUGCUGCGUGGUGGGGGUUGGAAAGUUUCGGCGGUUGGGGAUGGGCUCGCGGCUUAUCAGCUUGUUGGUGGGGUAGUGUCUCCAAACGGCUUGGACGGGUAGCCGGCCUGGAAGGGUGCCCGGCUCCAUUGGACUACGGUACGGACCAGUAUCCUUUCGGGCGCAAUGGGGGGGAAUCUUGCCGAACGGCGCGGAGUUCGUUUGGAGCAUCUCCGGAUCCGGAAGCUCGGCUUUCGGGUGUGAACCCGUUUGCGCCUUUGACUACGCGUCUUGACGGUAACUGGUCAAAAAGCCACGGCUAACUACGUG
rnacentral:rRNA from 1 species